ACCACUUACACACACUACAUUCCUGACAAACAAACUCUGGAUCCCCUAUGCACACACUACAUUCUUUGUAAGCAAACACAAACUUCAUUCUCUAAACACACACUCUCUACAACCCCUACACACACUACGUCACCUUUAUACACACACACAUUACAGCCCGUAUGCACACACUCGCUACAUCCCCUAUACACACUAUGUAUACACACAUUUUCU